AACGAACGCUGGCGGCAUGCCUAACACAUGCAAGUCGAACGAGACCUUCGGGUCUAGUGGCGCACGGGUGCGUAACGCGUGGGAACCUGCCCUUAGGUUCGGAAUAACUCCCCGAAAGGGGUGCUAAUACCGGAUAAUGUCUUCGGACCAAAGAUUUAUCGCCUUUCGAUGGGCCCGCGUUGGAUUAGCUAGUUGGUAGGGUAAAAGCCUACCAAGGCGACGAUCCAUAGCUGGUCUGAGAGGAUGAUCAGCCACACUGGGACUGAGACACGGCCCAGACUCCUACGGGAGGCAGCAGUGGGGAAUAUUGGACAAUGGGCGAAAGCCUGAUCCAGCAAUGCCGCGUGAGUGAUGAAGGCCUUAGGGUUGUAAAGCUCUUUUACCCGGGAUGAUAAUGACAGUACCGGGAGAAUAAGCUCCGGCUAACUCCGUG
rnacentral:rRNA from 1 species